GACUCUGUAGCUCAGUCGCUUAGAGCACUGCACCGGAAUCGCAGAGCCUUAGGUUUAAUUCCUACCAGAGGAC